GGCGGCAUGCCUUACACAUGCAAGUCGAACGGCAGCACGGACUUCGGUCUGGUGGCGAGUGGCGAACGGGUGAGUAAUACAUCGGAACGUGCCUAGUAGUGGGGGAUAACUACUCGAAAGAGUGGCUAAUACCGCAUGAGAUCUACGGAUGAAAGCAGGGGAUCGCAAGACCUUGUGCUACUAGAGCGGCUGAUGGCAGAUUAGGUAGUUGGUGGGAUAAAAGCUUACCAAGCCGACGAUCUGUAGCUGGUCUGAGAGGACGAUCAGCCACACUGGGACUGAGACACGGCCCAGACUCCUACGGGAGGCAGCAGUGGGGAAUUUUGGACAAUGGGCGCAAGCCUGAUCCAGCAAUGCCGCGUGCAGGAUGAAGGCCUUCGGGUUGUAAACUGCUUUUGUACGGAACGAAAAGCUUCGGGCUAAUACCUUGGAGUCAUGACGGUACCGUAAGAAUAAGCACCGGCUAACUACGUGCCAGCA
rnacentral:rRNA from 1 species